UAUCUUCUCUCUGCCGUGUUCUUCUCUUUGCGCUAUCCAUCCUGAGUUUCAUGGUUUCUUCAUGCUCUCUCUCUCUCUCUCUCUUUUCCUCCUUAUGAGAUCUUCUAGAUAGAGUUUUUAGUCAAGUGCUUGCACGGUGAGGCUGAAAUUGAAGUGGUUCUGUGGGGUUUGGAUCUGAGAAUGAGGAAGGAGAUUUCAUUUUUGGAGCACUGUUCAAGCAAGGGCUGCAAACACUGUACUGGAUAUGCUAGUACCUUUUAGGAGACCCGCUUGGGUUUGGCGUCGUCCGUCUGCAUUCAACCAGCAGCAAUAAAUAAGCAAAUGAAAAUGGAUGGUGGUCACGUGGGUGGAUAUGUGUGUAUUGAAUUUGGUGAUUGUUGACUACACCCAAACUCCCAACUUCGUGCACGUCACGCUAUAACCUUUCACUACUUCUAUCCGUUCCAUUCUCAAUUGCUUACAAGCUAUUUGUUUCUUUAUGCAAAAAUCUCAACAACACAUAAAAAAACCUUUCUAAUUUUAAAAUCA